rnacentral:rRNA from 1 species
CGUAGGGUGCAAGCGUUAAUCGGAAUUACUGGGCGUAAAGCGUGCGCAGGCGGCUUUGCAAGACAGAUGUGAAAUCCCCGGGCUUAACCUGGGAACCGCAUUUGUGACUGCAAGGCUAGAGUACGGCAGAGGGGGAUGGAAUUCCGCGUGUAGCAGUGAAAUGCGUAGAUAUGCGGAGGAACACCGAUGGCGAAGGCAAUCCCCUGGGCCUGUACUGACGCUCAUGCACGAAAGCGUGGGGAGCAAACAGGAUUAGAUACCCUGGUAGUCCACGCCCUAAACGAUGUCAACUGGUUGUUGGACGGCUUGCUGUUCAGUAACGAAGCUAACGCGUGAAGUUGACCGCCUGGGGAGUACGGCCGCAAGGUUG